GACCGAACCGACUUACGUUGAAAAGUGAGCGGAUGAACUGAGGGUAGCGGAGAAAUUCCAAUCGAACCUGGAGAUAGCUGGUUCUCUCCGAAAUAGCUUUAGGGCUAGCCUCAAGUGAUGAUUAUUGGAGGUAGAGCACUGUUUGGACGAGGGGCCCCUCUCGGGUUACCGAAUUCAGACAAACUCCGAAUGCCAAUUAAUUUAACUUGGGAGUCAGAACAUGGGUGAUAAGGUCCGUGUUCGAAAGGGAAACAGCCCAGACCACCAGCUAAGGUCCCAAAAUAUAUGUUAAGUGGAAAAGGAUGUGGCGUUGCCCAGACAACUAGGAUGUUGGCUUAGAAGCAGCCAUCAUUUAAAGAGUGCGUAAUAGCUCACUAGUCGAGUGACACUGCGCCGAAAAUGUACCGGGGCUAAACAUAUUACCGAAGCUGUGGAUUGUCCUUUGGACAAUGGUAGGAGAGCGUUCU
rnacentral:rRNA from 1 species